rnacentral:rRNA from 1 species
UGGGGAAUUUUGCGCAAUGGGGGAAACCCUGACGCAGCAACGCCGCGUGGAGGAUGAAGUCCCUUGGGACGUAAACUCCUUUCGACCCGGAAGAUCCUGACGGUACGGGUGGAAGAAGCACCGGCUAACUCUGUGCCAGCAGCCGCGGUAAUACGAGGGGGCGAGCGUUGUUCGGAAUUAUUGGGCGUAAAUGGGCGCGUAGGCGGUGCGGUAAGUCACCUGUGAAACCUCUGGGCUCAACUCAGAGCCUGCAGGCGAAACUGUGGUGCUGGAGUGUGGGAGAGGUGCGUGGAAAUUCCCCGGUGUAGCGGUGAAAUGCGUAGAUAUCGGGAGGAACACCUGUGGCGAAAGCGGCGCACUGGACCACAACUGACGCUGAGGCGCGAAAGCUAGGGGAGCAAACA